rnacentral:rRNA from 1 species
CGCGUAGGCGGCCAGGCAAGUCCUUCGUGAAAUCCCACAGCUCAACUGUGGAACUGCGGAGGAUACUUCUUGGCUUGAGUCCGGGAGAGGGUAGUGGAAUUCCCAGUGUAGCGGUGAAAUGCGUAGAUAUUGGGAGGAACACCGGUGGCGAAGGCGGCUACCUGGACCGGUACUGACGCUGAGGCGCGAAAGCUAGGGGAGCAAACG